rnacentral:rRNA from 1 species
AGAGCGAUCUGGAGCAAAACUCUAAAAAAACAAUCUCAGUUCAGAUUGCAGGCUGCAACUCGCCUGCAUGAAGUCGGAAUUGCUAGUAAUCGUAGGUCAGCAUACUACGGUGAAUACGUUCCCGGGCCUUGUACACACCGCCCGUCAAACCAUGAGAGUUGGCAACACCCGAAGUCGGUAGUCUAACCGCAAGGAGGACGCCGCCGAAGGUGGGGUUGAUGAUUAGGGUUAAGUCGUAACAAGGUAUC